GUCAGGUUCAGGCCCCAGGGAGAGCCAAGAGCGGCUUCUUCUCCUGAAGACAGUCUCUACAUGUUGUAUUUAAGCUAAAGUUUCCUAUACCCUAAUUACAAACGUGUAUUUCACGUGUGAUUGUGUGUAUUCCAGGUGUGAUUGUGUGUAUUCUGGGGUGUGAUUUUAUGUAUUCCAGGUGUGAUUGUGUGUAUUCCAGGUGUGAUUGUGUGUAUUCCAGGUGUGAUUGUGGUGUGAUUGUGUGUAUUCCAGGUGUGAUUGGGUGUAUUCCAGGUGUGAUUGGGUGUAUUCCAGGUGUGAUUGUGGUGUGAUUGUGUGUAUUCCAGGGUGUGAUUUUGUGUAUUCCAGGUUGUGAUUGUGUAUAUUCCAG
rnacentral:lncRNA from 1 species